rnacentral:rRNA from 1 species
GACGAACGCUGGCGGCGUGCUUAACACAUGCAAGUCGAGCGGGAUCCAACCGGUGGCAACACCGGGGAAGAUCUAGCGGCGAACGGGUGAGUAACACGUGAGCAACCUGCCCCGAAGACUGGGAUAACACCGGGAAACCGGUGCUAAUACCGGAUGUCGUCAUUAGGCCGCAUGACCUGAUGAUGAAAGGAUUCAUCGCUUCGGGAGGGGCUCGCGGGCUAUCAGCNGUUGGUGGGGUAACGGCCUACCAAGGCGACGACGGCUAGCUGGUCUGAGAGGACGACCAGCCACACUGGGACUGAGACACGGCCCAGACUCCUACGGGAGGCAGCAGUGGGGAAUCUUGCGCAAUGGGCGAAAGCCUGACGCAGCAACGCCGCGU